GAUGAGAAGCUGGACAUGAGCCAGCAGUGUGCGCUUGCAGCCCAGAAGGCCAACUAUGUUCUGGGCUGCAUAAAAAAAGGGGUGGCCAGCAGAAAGAGGGAGGUGAUUGUCCCCCUCUACUUGGCUCUUGUGAGGCCUCAUCUGGAGUACUGCAUCCAGGCCUGGGGCCCCCAGUACAGGAAGGACGUAGAGCUCUUGAAGCGGGUCCAGAGGUGGGCCACUAAGAUGAUCAGAAGGCUGGAGCCCCUCUCCUAUGAGGAAAGUUUGAGGGAACUGGGCUUGUUUAGUUUGGAGAAGACUCCGGAGAGACCUCAUUGUGGCCUUCCAGUACUUGAAGGGAGCAUUUAAACAGGAAGGGGAACAGCUGUUUAUGAGGGUGGAUAGUGAUAGGACAAGGGAGAAUGGUUUUAAACUGGAACAGGGGAGAUUUAGGUUAGAUAUUAGGAGGUAGUUUUUCACCCAGAGGGUGGAGAUGCACAGGAACAGGUUGCCCAAGGAGGUUGUGGAUGCCCUGUUGCUGGAGACAUUCAAGGCCAGGCUG
ensembl:lncRNA